UCGAGGGGCAACACGGGUAGCAAUACCUGGUGGCGACCGGCGCAAGGGUGCGUAACGCGUGAGCAACAUGCCCUAUACAGGGGGAUAAUCCAGGGAAACUUGGUCUAAUAUCCCAUAGUAUUUAGAGGUGGCAUCACCACUAAAUUAAAGCUUCGGUGGUAUAGGAUUGGCUCGCGUGACAUUAGCUGGAUGGUGGGGUAACGGCUCACCAUGGCGAUGAUGUCUAGGGGUUCUGAGAGGAAGACCCCCCACACUGGGACUGAGACACGGCCCAGACUCCUACGGGAGGCAGCAGUGAGGAAUAUUGGACAAUGGAUGGAAAUCUGAUCCAGCCAUGCCGCGUGCAGGAAGACGGCCCUAUGGGUUGUAAACUGCUUUUAUAUGGGAGCAAUAAGGUUUACGCGUAGACCGAUGAGAGUACCAUAUGAAUAAGCAUCGGCUAACUCCGUGCCAGCAGCCGCGGUAAUACGGAGGAUGCGAGCGUUAUCCGGAUUUAUUGGGUUUAAAGGGUGCGUAGGCGGCCUUGUAAGUCAGCGGUGAAAUUUUGCAGCUUAACUGUAACAGUGCCGUUGAUACUGCGGGGCUAGGAUUUGGUUGCUGUGGGUGGAAUGUGUGGUGUAGCGGUGAAAUGCUUAGAUAUCACACAGAAUAUCGAUUGCGAA
rnacentral:rRNA from 1 species